rnacentral:lncRNA from 1 species
CCUGGUCACCAGCCUGCACUUGGGCUGGCCACAAGCCUGGGUCCUUCCUCUUCUCCCUUGUUUCUUAAAAAGGAGAGAGGUAGAAAUUUGGAGAGUUUGUUUCUCAGUGAGUUUGGCACUAGGAAGGGCACUGAGUGUUCAGACAGGCUGCCAUGACCUGGCCAGGGUGGGGGUGGGGAGAGUCAGGUUGGGAGAACUCUAGUAUUUGGGGACAUAGAGUUCAAGCAAUUUUGGCCUUGUUGAUUACUCUGAAGUGUGGAGUAAGAGAACGGUGUCUGAAAUUAAGUGGGAGGGACUUGUCCCAGUGGCGGUGCGGGUACAGGCUUUCAGAGUGAGUUAGUGGUGAACCCAGGAAAAUCCCUUUCCAUUGCUGGGCCUCUGUUUGCCUUUCUGGAUGGAUGGUACAGUGGUUAAGAGCAAGGUUAAGGCAUGGAUUGGAAUCCAAACCUUAUCCCGUCUUUGUUGUGUGACCUUGAACAGCUGACUUCGUCUCUCUGAACCUUAUGGAGCCAAAAACAGCUCCUAGCUCUUCAGCUAUUUAGAGUGAUGACAAGGAUAAAGGUGGGCCUGUGGAAGUAUUGGCUGAAAUAGAGUGAAGAAGGUCAAAGAAGAGAGGAAAGUCAAGAUUCUUUCUUCCUGAGUGUUUGGAUAGCUCACAUUCCUGGCCAUAAAGGGCUUCCCUACCAGUAGAAUGUCAGGGCUUAGAGUAGAGAGGUAGGAAAGAAGUUGGGUAGAUGACAGGGAUGAACAACUUUUUAAAUCACAGGGCGAAGGUGUCAGUAUCCAAGUGUCUGGAGAGUUUCUUCUGGUAAUGUUUGAGUAGCUUCUAUUGGAUCAAGCAUCCUGUGAAUAACAGCUAUUAACUCUGAAGAAAACAUUUUUAAGAACCCAGUUCUCUGAAAUUACUGGAGAGUGAACGAAAGCAGCAGAUACUGAAGGGGGUUGGAUGAAGCAGGUUUCCUAUUUUGGGUGUUUUUUUUAAUGCUUUCGGCCUAAAGGCAGACCCUGGAAAGUGCCUUGUGGGGUGGCUUAAUCCCAGAUAGAGAUGUUUUAAUUUUUUUGACUUCAAGAACCAGAGGACAGAAUUCAAGGUGAUUAUAGCAUCUACUGAUAGUGGUGGUAGAAUUGCAAAAAGGAAAGAGCCAGAGAGGGGGAGCCCCAAAUUCUGUAAAUAAACUCUGUCCAAAUUUCU